rnacentral:rRNA from 1 species
UAUGGUAGUGCCAGCAGCCGCGGUAAUACGGAGGGUGCAAGCGUUAAUCGGAAUCACUGGGCGUAAAGCGCACGUAGGCGGCUUGGUAAGUCAGGGGUGAAAUCCCACAGCCCAACUGUGGAACUGCCUUUGAUACUGCCAGGCUUGAGUACCGGAGAGGGUGGCGGAAUUCCAGGUGUAGGAGUGAAAUCCGUAGAUAUCUGGAGGAACACCGGUGGCGAAGGCGGCCACCUGGACGGUAACUGACGCUGAGGUGCGAAAGCGUGGGUAGCAAACAGG